rnacentral:rRNA from 1 species
UACGGAGGGAGCUAGCGUUGUUCGGAAUUACUGGGCGUAAAGCGCACGUAGGCGGCUUUGUAAGUUAGAGGUGAAAGCCCGGAGCUCAACUCCGGAACUGCCUUUAAGACUGCAUCGCUUGAAUCCGGGAGAGGUGAGUGGAAUUCCGAGUGUAGAGGUGAAAUUCGUAGAUAUUAGGAAGAACACCAGUGGCGAAGGCGGCUCACUGGCUCGGUACUGACGCUGAGGCGCGAAAGCGUGGGGAGCAAACAGG